GGGGUUCUGAGUGCAGAUCACUAUAAUUGCACUUAUGCCCCUUGGGCUCCAAACCCUCAGUAUGGUUUCUCUUGCAGAAAUACGCUGUUAUUAAGUUCCCCCAAGACAACACAGUUGAUGUUGUGGCUUCCAACUGGCUUGAAGUUACAAAAGAGGGUAUAUUUUGCUACUGGCCAAGAAAUGGUUUUACUGCCAAAGCAAAAAAAAGAGCCACUCCAGAUACUACCUUGUGGUCUAAACAUGUUGCAGUGGUUCUGGUGUAUGCAGAUAGCUAUGAGGAAGCCAGACUGAAAGCCAACCAGGCCACAGUGACAUCAAACCUGGAGAGCGAUGAGGAACCUCCACGGAGACUAGUACGACCUCCAGCUAGAUAUUUGAGAAAGCUGGAU